UAUGUAUUUCUUUUUUCAAAAAAAGUGAAGACUCCUGUUUGGAGACAUGAAGAAAAGUGAGACAAGACAUCUACUCUGAUUUCUGUGCAGCAUUUGAGCUUGGGAAGAUAUGGAAUUCUACUAAAAUGAGAUUAUAUAUAAGCAGUUCUUCACGCUUCAUUGCUUGAAUGAGCCAGGAGUUAUUCUGAGUUCUGAGUCCCAGGUGCAGUGCCUUCUGACUACCAAAUAUGAUUUUCUAAAAGGGAAGAAAGAGCAGUGAAUUGAAACUACAACAACCUGUUCUGUGUGGUCUGAGUACAGCCUUGUAAUAGAGAAGAGCAAAACAAAUUAACAGUCAGGGUGGAGGCAGAAGAUCCUGUCCAGGCACACAAUGACAACGAAGAGCUUGUUUGUGAGUCAGGCAACAGCUUCCACUGCUGGUUCUGUUUCUGCCUUUGUGAACAAAUGUGGGAAGCUCUCUGCAUUCAGAAGGAUUGCACUGCUGAGCUUUACAAGACAUUAAACUGCAUACCAGCGGGAAUAGACGCUUUCUGUUUUCCUUAAGUGGGUCUUCUGCGCGGAGUCAGUGAUUGCCUUUCUUUGAAGUUGCCAGCUGAAUUCUGAAGACAUUGCAAGAGAGCAGUGUGUUUUGCUGGGCCAAGAGCACAAA